AUUGAACGCUGGCGGCAGGCCUAACACAUGCAAGUCGAACGAGUGGCGGACGGGUGAGUAAUGUCUGGGGAACUGCCUGAUGGAGGGGGAUAACUACUGGAAACGGUAGCUAAUACCGCAUACCAUCGGAUGAGCCCAGAUGGGAUUAGCUAGUAGGGUGGGUAAAGGCUCACCUAGGCGACGAUCCCUAGCUGGUAUGAGAGGAUGACCAGCCACACUGGAACUGAGACACGGUCCAGACUCCUACGGUAGGCAGCAGUGUGGAAUAUUUCACAAUGGGCGCAAGCCUGAUGCAGCCAUGCCGCGUGUAUGAAGAAGGCCUUCGGGGUGUAAAGUACUUUCAGCGGUGAGGCGUUACCCGCAGAAGAAGCACCGGCUAACUCCGUGCCAGCAGCCGCGGUAAUUC
rnacentral:rRNA from 1 species